UGGGGAAUCUUCCGCAAUGGGCGAAAGCCUGACGGAGCAACGCCGCGUGAAUGAAGAAGGCUUUCGGGUCGUAAAGUUCUGUCUUCAGGGAAGAAGUCUUUCUGUGUGAAUAAUGCAGGAAGGUGACGGUACCUGAGGAGGAAGCUCCGGCUAACUACGUGCCAGCAGCCGCGGUAAUACGUAGGGAGCGAGCGUUGUCCGGAAUUACUGGGCGUAAAGGGCGCGUAGGCGGGAUCUUAAGUCAGGUGUGAAAACUCCGGGCUCAACCUGGAGAUUGCAUUUGAAACUGGGAUUCUUGAGGGCAGGAGAGGAAAGUGGAAUUCCUAGUGUAGCGGUGAAAUGCGUAGAUAUUAGGAGGAACACCAGUGGCGAAGGCGACUUUCUGGACUGUACCUGACGCUGAGGCGCGAAAGCGUGGGGAGCGAACGGG
rnacentral:rRNA from 2 species